UACAGAGGUCUCAAGCGUUGUUCGGAUUCAUUGGGCGUAAAGGGUGUGUAGGUGGCGCCGUAAGUGGGGUGUGAAAUCCCGGGGCUUAACCCCGGGACUGCAUUCCAUACUGCGGUGCUUGAGGACUGGAGAGGAGACUGGAAUUUACGGUGUAGCAGUGAAAUGCGUAGAGAUCGUAAGGAAGACCAGUGGCGAAGGCGGGUCUCUGGACAGUUCCUGACGCUGAGGCACGAAGGUCAGGGGAGCAAACGGG
rnacentral:rRNA from 1 species